GGGAUAACACUUGGAAACAGGUGCUAAUACCGUAUAACACUAUUUUCCGCAUGGAAGAAAGUUGAAAGGCGCUUUUGCGUCACUGAUGGAUGGACCCGCGGUGCAUUAGCUAGUUGGUGAGGUAACGGCUCACCAAGGCCACGAUGCAUAGCCGACCUGAGAGGGUGAUCGGCCACACUGGGACUGAGACACGGCCCAGACUCCUACGGGAGGCGGCAGUAGGGAAUCUUCGGCAAUGGACGAAAGUCUGACCGAGCAACGCCGCGUGAGUGAAGAAGGUUUUCGGAUCGUAAAACUCUGUUGUUAGAGAAGAACAAGGAUGAGAGUAAAAUGUUCAUCCCUUGACGGUAUCUAACCAGAAAGCCACGGCUAACUACGUGCCAGCAGCCGCGGUAAUACGUAGGUGGCAAGCGUUGUCCGGAUUUAUUGGGCGUAAAGCGAGCGCAGGCGGUUUCUUAAGUCUGAUGUGAAAGCCCCCGGCUCAACCGGGGAGGGUCAUUGGAAACUGGGAGACUUGAGUGCAGAAGAGGAGAGUGGAAUUCCAUGUGUAGCGGUGAAAUGCGUAGAUAUAUGGAGGAACACCAGUGGCGAAGGCGGCUCUCUGGUCUGUAACUGACGCUGAGGCUCGAAAGCGUGGGGAGCGAACAGGAUUAGAUACCCUGGUAGUCCACGCCGUAAACGAUGAGUAAUAGGUGUUGGAGGGUUUCCGCCCUUCAGUGCUGCAGCA
rnacentral:rRNA from 1 species